rnacentral:rRNA from 1 species
CCCUUAGGUGUUCUGGGCCGCACGCGUGCUACACUGAGUGGAUCAGCGGGUCAGGUUGCGCGAAAGUGUUUCCUAAUCUUUAAAUCCGCUCGUGAUGGGGAUUGACGGUUGCAAUUUUCCGUCAUGAACGAGGAAUACCUUGUAAGCGCGGGUCAUCAUCCCGCGCUGAAUACGUCCCUGCCCUUUGUACACACCGCCCGUCGCUCCUACCGAUUGAGUGGUCCGGUGAGGCUUUGGGAUCUGGGCGGAAAGAGCGUUUCGCUGUUUCUGCCCGGAAAACUCAGUCGAACCUUAUCAUUUAGAGGAAGGAGAAGUCGUAACA